rnacentral:lncRNA from 1 species
GACCUUUAAAAAUCCAACUGCACGAGUUGCUUAAUCUAUCUAUAUCUAUGUUUAUGUUUACAUCGCGUAUAUGGUCAUAGAAGGUCAAUUUGAAAUUUAAUUAGAUGGCGUCAUUGCUAAAAAUCACACAAAACGAAGCUAAAUCUUAUUGAGACCAUGUAAAUUGUUUAUUUUAUAUUUUUGACAAUUUGGAAAAAUGUUUUACAUUGUUAUAAAUAAAAUAUGAGAAUUUGAGUCAAAUUGGUGAACAUGAAUUUGACAGCUUGUGCCCCUUUAAGC